GUGCUCGCUUGGGUAGCACAUACAGUAAACUUGGAAAGAUACAGUAAGGACUGGCAUGAUCCCUGUGCAUGGGUGACAACCAACUUCAUGAAGCAUUUCAUAAUUUU
ensembl:snRNA U6 U6 spliceosomal RNA